GCUCAGGAUGAACGCUAGCUACAGGCUUAACACAUGCAAGUCGAGGGGUAGCAGGGUAGCAAUACCGCUGACGACCGGCGCACGGGUGAGUAACACGUAUCCAACCUUCCCAUAACUCGGGGAUAGCCUUUCGAAAGAAAGAUUAAUACCCGAUAGUACUUUUUCAAGGCAUCUUGAGAAAGUUAAAGAUUUAUUGGUUAUGGAUGGGGAUGCGUUCCAUUAGAUAGUUGGUGAGGUAACGGCUCACCAAGUCUUCGAUGGAUAGGGGUUCUGAGAGGAAGGUCCCCCACAUUGGUACUGAGACACGGACCAAACUCCUACGGGAGGCAGCAGUGAGGAAUAUUGGUCAAUGGGCGAGAGCCUGAACCAGCCAA
rnacentral:rRNA from 1 species